rnacentral:rRNA from 1 species
AGAGUUUGAUCCUGGCUCAGGACGAACGCUGGCGGCGCGCCUAACACAUGCAAGUCGAACGGAGCUUGUUUUUCUGAAGUUUUCGGAUGGACGAGAGAUAAGCUUAGUGGCGAACGGGUGAGUAACGCGUGAGUAAUCUGCCUUCCAGAGGGGGACAACAGUUGGAAAUGACUGCUAAUACCGCAUAAGCGCACAGCAUUGCAUGAUGCAGUGUGAAAAACUCCGGUGGUAUGAGAUGGACCCGCGUCUGAUUAGCUAGUUGGUAAGGUAACGGCUUACCAAGGCGACGAUCAGUAGCCGGCCUGAGAGGGUGAACGGCCACAUUGGGACUGAGACACGGCCCAAACUCCUACGGGAGGCAGCAGUGGGGAAUAUUGCACAAUGGGGGAAACCCUGACCCAGCAACGCCGCGUGAAGGAAGAAGGCCUUCGGGUUGUAAACUUCUUUUACCAGGGACGAAGAAAAUGACGGUACCUGGAGAAAAAGCAACGGCUAACUACGUGCCAGCAGCCGCGGUAAUACGUAGGUUGCAAGCGUUGUCCGGAUUUACUGGGUGUAAAGGGCGUGUAGGCGGAGAUGCAAGUUGGGAGUGAAAUCCCGGGGCUCAACCCCGGAACUGCUUUCAAAACUGCAUCCCUUGAGUAUCAGAGAGGCAAGCGGAAUUCCUAGUGUAGCGGUGAAAUGCGUGGAUAUUAGGAGGAACACCAGUGGCGAAGGCGACUUACUGGGCCGUAACUGACGCUGAGGCGCGAAAGCGUGGGGAGCGAACAGGAUUAGAUACCCUGGUAGUCCACGCUGUAAACGAUGAAUGCUAGGUGUAGCGGGUAUCGACCCCUGCUGUGCCGUAGUAAACACAAUAAGCAUUCCGCCUGGGGAGUACGGCCGCAAGGUUGAAACUCAAAGGAAUUGACGGGGGCCCGCACAAGCAGCGGAGCAUGUUGUUUAAUUCGAAGCAACGCGAAGAACCUUACCAGGUCUUGACAUCGAGGAAAACUGCUAGAGAUAGCAGGUGAGUUCGCUCAUCCGAAGACAGGUGGUGCAUGGUUGUCGUCAGCUCGUGUCGUGAGAUGUUGGGUUAAGUCCCGCAACGAGCGCAACCCCUAUCUUUAGUAGCCAGCAUUUGAGGUGGGCACUCUAGAGAGACUGCCAGGGAUAACCUGGAGGAAGGUGGGGAUGACGUCAAAUCAUCAUGCCCCUUAUGACCAGGGCUACACACGUGCUACAAUGGCGUAAACAAAGGGAAGCGGAGCCGUGAGGCCGAGCAAAUCUCAAAAAUAACGUCUCAGUUCGGAUUGUAGUCUGCAACUCGACUACAUGAAGCUGGAAUCGCUAGUAAUCGCGAAUCAGAAUGCUGCGGUGAAUACGUUCCCGGGUCUUGCACACACCGCCCGUCA